GCCCCCUCUCUCCUCAGCUUUCAGACCCUGAUGACUUCACAGGCCUUGAGACAUCCAGCCUCCUACAGCAUGGAGACACUGUGCUUCACAUCAGCGAGGAAAAUGGCAUGGAGAACCCCCUGUUGUCUAGCCAGUUCACUUUUACUCCUGAGCUGGGGGAGACAGAUGUAGUCCUAGAUGAGUCUCAUGUUUAGUUCUGUAUCUUGUUAGUAUUGAAGGUAUAGAGAAGACAGGGAGAGGAUCACUCUGUUGAAAGCUGAAUACUUUUGCUUUUAAUUAAAAAGAUUAAUUAUAAAACAGCACUUUACAUCCAAUGAGCGGCACAAAUCUGAGUAGAUUUUGCUGCUAAUAUACCUAGUAAUGUAGGUUUCAUAAACAUCUUGAAAAUCAAAGGCUAAAAGGAUUUAGUUGUGUAAAGACCAGAAAAACCAGGGAAGAAUAAGGGGAAAGAGCCAUUUCACUGUACUUUGUGAUUCAAGAAGCCUUGAGCAGUUAAAAGUCUAUACUAUUAGAGCACUGCUUUCACAGGAAUAUUAACAAAUAAUAUAUUCUAAGAAAAGAAUGCAAUUUUUUGAGGUUGCUCACAUUAUACAUCUCAUGCAAAUGUUUAUUUUUAUAGCUUCAAAAAUAUUAAAUCAGGUGGCUAUACAAGUAGUGAUUUACAUGAUAAUAAUCAAUAUAGAGAAUAUUAGUUUGGGGUGAAUAAAUAACAAAUAAGCCUGCAGCCAUUUUUGUUUUGGUCAACAAUGUAGCCAUUUAGAAGAAGAAAAAAUACUAUUUUUAGAGCUGUGGACUUUUCAAAAUUUAUUUUUCAACUGUCAUUUUCAGUGCACAUUUAAAUCAGAAUGCUGAUGCCAUAAGAUGAUUCCAUUUCAUAAUCACAUUAGAGAAUACUUGGAAAUUAUCAGUUAUAAUUCUGAAUUAAGAAUCUAAACAGCUAUAUAAUUCUAAAAUCUACAUGUAAAUAUAAUAGAUCAAAAGAGGUAGUAUUCCCACUUUUAGCCCUGACUACACCCAUGCCAAGAUUCGGAUUUAUUGGGAAAUGUGAUUACUUUCCCCUAUGGCAUCCCUGUGGUAUCCUGUGCCUGCCCUUCAGGGCAUAUUUUCAUACAUUAAAGUUAGUGUUGUUAGAAUUGGUUCAGUAAAAUAACUUUUUUCUCAAUAGUGAAAAUACUCUUAUGAUCCUUGGGACAUCUAUGUUUAUGAGGAAAAAUAUAUAAAGUUAGCCAUUUCUUCAUAGACACUCAGCUUGUACACUCAGCUUGUACAUUUUACAAAUAGGCUUUUAACUUGAAGUUCAAUUACUUUAAGAUAAAGUAUGAAAUUUGGAAAGCUUUGAGGCCAAUAUCUAGUGGAUUAUUAAAGGGCUGGGCAUCAAAGAAUACAAAAUAGAUUUUUGUAAUUUUAACAGUCUACAUUAUAAAAUUGUUACAUAACUACUGCACAUAAAAAAAUCCAUAUGCAUACCUAAAUUGGUAUGAUUGGGUGAGUGUGUGUAUUUUCUAGUCCUGAAGUAAAAGUUUAACAUAAGCUUUUAUUACACUGAGAUUUAAAAUACAUUCUAUAUACGUAAAUGUUGACUAUGUUGACUGUGAAAUGUAUAUGUAUAUAAAGAGGAAACCUACUAAACCCACCUUAGUUAUAAAGAAAAAUUAUUUUUCUGUUAGACUUGCUUAUUAAAUAGGCACUGGUUAUAUCAUAAUUUACAGUUUCAAAUAUAAUUUGGGGUUAUGGUCCCAUUUAUUAGGAGAAUGAAAGCUAUCUGUGAGUUAAUGAUAAAAGAAUAAAUUUAAAAUCUCAAAAUUCAGAAAAAUUAAGGAGGUAAAUGGCCUCUUUUAUGUUUUAUAACAUUUUCACAUUAUUUACACUUAAUGCUGAAUUAAUUCUCAAGUGCAAAAGUAGACAUAUAAGUGGUUUUCUGAUUCUGAUAUAUUUUACCUGCUAAAAAUCAUGCUGCUCAAUUAGCAUUAGAGGCCUUAUGUUUGGUAAUUACAAUUGUCUGGGCUAUGUGAGUCUUUCUAUAUGUGUGUGCUUUGUUCCAGUUUCUUGACUUUUGACUCAAAUUCUCUAUGGUAUAUCAAAUAUUUAAAAAGUAAGGGGUCAUCCUAAAUAUCUUUUAUUUAUAUAUAUUUUAAAUGUAUUGAGCUGUUUUGAACAUGAUUUUGCUGGUCUUUCUGCCUUUUAGUCCAACUCUUUCACUCAAGUGUAUGGAAUUCUGUUAGAAACUUUUCAAUAAGCUAAAUCAUGUCAUACCUUGCAAAAAAAGAAAAAAAAAACCCUCCCAUUCUGGGAAACAGGGGCUUACAGAGUGGGAAUGUUUUCAUACUGGGACUACUGAGAUUUUUGACGAUGUGUGUAUCUGUUCCAUUGGAGGUGUCCUUAAAUGUGUUGAAUGUAAUGUGUUGAAUGUUUAAGUGUAAUGGCUAAAGUAUCUAUAUGUAUGUGCAUAAGACCCUCAUGAGAAGUAUUCUCAGGAAUACUGUCACCUGGAGUUUGAAGGAAUAACUAUUUUUUAAAAACAACAGUCGGGGAAGGUAAGAAAAAAGUUCAAGGUAAUUGACAAUCUUUUGUAUUGUUCAAAAUAUUAUUGACUACUUGACUAAAAGUUAAUUAUUACAUAUGAUAAAUACAGUAUGGUAAUAAUAGAUCAUUUCUUAAGCUAUGUUACUUACUGAUAUUUGUCUUAUUCAGAGGAAAAAAAAUAUAGGCACCCACUUCCCAUGUAUAAAAACUUGGACACAACAAAAAGGUUGCUUAUUCAGAAAAUAAGAUUUGAGAGACCCUGGAAUAAACAUGUAUUAUCCAUAACAGUGGGUAUAGAUACAUAAUAUGCAGAUUCAAUUUAACCGGUUCAAAUCCUGGAUACCGAAUUUUCUAUAGUAAUCAUUUUACUUUCAUUUUUCAGUAUUUGCUGCUUUCUAUAAUUCUAUUAGAUAAAGUAUUUGAUUUUUCAUAAAAGGAAAUUAGUUCUUGGGUGCAAGUCCCAAGACAUUAAGAACUACAGUGUCAAAGGCAUGAAUGGGCACAUGGUGUUGCUGGGGGUAGAGUCUGCAGUAUUGGUGAUCUGAUUAGGGUAUGUUGCACAGAUUGGGAGUAGCUGGUUUGCUACUUCAAGCCUCCAAGAAUAUCUUAGACAGAUUGACAUCUCCUCUUCUUUAGCAUCUGUUCCUUUAAGAAAGAACUUUCUCCACUCUGCUGCCCAGCUCUGAGAGUUUUUAAGAAAAUAGUGCAUACGUAGAGGUAGAGAACUAUAGGAAAGAAAGGGCCAAAAAUGAAUAGAAUGGCAGUCCAAAAUAUGAAUUAAAUAUCCUUCCUCAAGUUAUACACUUUAAUAGAGCACAGUCUCUGGAAUUGCUGCUAUCACAUCAAGUCAUGCUGUUGCCCUGUGACCUCACACUUCCAAUUCCAUGGCCUUGUGUCUUGCAGUGAGUAAAAUGCCCCACUUCCUCAUUUACUUUAGUGGGUCUCAACUGCAGCAUUUCAAAAGCAAACUUUGAUUUGACACUCAGGAGAAUAUAAAACAAGGGCAGGAUGUGUUUGGAAAAGUUUAAGACAAAUUUACUUAUAUUAUUUUAGGAUCAUUUAGGAUUACAGAUCUAUGUACCUCCAUAAUAUUUUUUAAUUGUCACUGUGACCACAGGAUGAAAGUCCUUUAUUAGCCAUUUUAUAGGUAAAACAAAGGAUUGACUACACAGCCAACUUCCCUCAGAUGACUAUGAAGUCUGUUGUGAAUAUUGAAUGACCAAAGAGCAUGGAAAAAUGCAUAUGAAUAAAUACUGAAAUGUUUAUGAAAGAUAUUUAUGAAAGAUAUUGACUUCUGUGUUUGAAUAUGCACAUAUAAUAAAAAGAAAUCUAAG
rnacentral:lncRNA from 1 species